UACGAAGGGGGGCUAGCGUUGCUCGGAAUCACUGGGCGUAAAGGGUGCGUAGGCGGGUCUUUAAGUCAGGGGUGAAAUCCUGGAGCUCAACUCCAGAACUGCCUUUGAUACUGAAGAUCUUGAGUCCGGGAGAGGUGAGUGGAACUGCGAGUGUAGAGGUGAAAUUCGUAGAUAUUCGCAAGAACACCAGUGGCGAAGGCGGCUCACUGGCCCGGUACUGACGCUGAGGCACGAAGGCCAGGGGAGCAAACGGG
rnacentral:rRNA from 1 species